CUCAACAAGUAAAUAGUGGGGUCUGGACUUGAACUUGAAAUGACUGACUACAAAUCCUGAACAACCUACUCUGGAGUCUCCCUCUACAAUGAAGGGUCUUAGAGACUACCCUGCAAUACAAGUUCAAGGAAUCCAGUGAGGGAUAUGUUGAUAUUUCUUGCUGCUGCCAGUCAACCUAUGACUUACUUUACACAGUAGCCAAAAAAGAGACCAGCGAAACAAAGGAAUGAAAGCAGAGGUGGGGCUGGCUGGCUCAAGUUAAGAC
rnacentral:lncRNA from 1 species